GUCCCUGUAGCACAAUAGAUAGUGCGUUGGACUUCUCGUCCAAAGGUGGUGGGUUUGAAUCUCACCCGAGAUU